rnacentral:lncRNA from 1 species
AUAUCCCCGUGUAGUAUACGGGUUUCACACCUACUAAACGAAUAUAGCGCAAUUUAUAGAGAAAAUUUACAAUACAACUAUAAUCAUAAAUAAAUAAAAACAUAUUGGAUGUAUAUCUAGAUUAUACAUCUAUUCAUAAAUAAUAGUAUCACAAAAAGUUACAAUGUAAUACAUAUCUAUUUUUCUAUAAUCACAUAUGAAUACAACAUAAACAAAAAUUCGAAUAAAAAUAAGUAACUAUUAUUAUAUAAUCAUAAAUGAAUAAGGCAAUAUCUUUUCCACUUUGUUUUGUUUGGUUGUAUAUUAGCACUCCAAUAUCCCGUUUGUAGAUGCAUCUCGAGUUCCUCUACACACUGUCAAAUAAAGAAAUAAAUACAAUUAAAUGAAAAGGAUUUAGAGAAACACAUAUGAUGUCAAACUAUAAAUGAAAAGACAUGAACAAAAUAAAAAAUACAUAUGAAUUCAUAUAAUUGUAAUUAUAUUCAUACAUGAAUAUAUCACAUAUGAAUACACUUAUAAUCAUAAAUUAAUAUGACAUGAACAAAAAAUAAAAUACAUAUGAAUUCUUAUACUUGUAAUUAUAAAGUCAUCAACAUAUCACUUUAUAAUGUUUUCUUGAACAUUACCAUUCCAACAUUAUAUUCCAGAAGAUCUUAGAUUUCACAGUACAAAUAUAGAAACAUAAAUCUAGUACAAUUUUAAUCAUAAAGGACUAAAAUACAACGAAAAGUUGAAAAUACAUAAUAAUCACAAAUGAAAAAAAUCAUAUGGUUCAAUUCAUAUAUGAUUAAAGUCUUUUUCACAGAACUUGAUUUAUAUAUUUUUAUUAGCUUCAUCUAUACAUUAUAUUCAUAAAGAAAUAACUACGGAUAUAGCCUAGAACUUUUCUUCAUCAAAACUUUCAAAAAGNNNNNNNNNNNNNNNNNNNNNNNNNNNNNNNNNNNNNNNNNNNNNNNNNNNNNNNNNNNNNNNNNNNNNNNNUAUAUAUAUAAUGUUAAAAUCAAAAGAAAAAAUAACUCUUAUAAAAAGUAAAUACUUUUACAGAAUAUAAAAUUCCAAAACAAGCAUAAACUAUCAAUAAGUUAAUCCAACAAAUCAAAAUUGUAGUGCUCAUAUAUUCGAACAUUAAGUUUUAGCAUAUAUUGAAAAAUUGAGUAAAUAUCAAUUGAGUGUUUACUUGAUCGGAGUCGCUAAUGUAAUCAUAAAAAAUCGAUAUUGCUUUAAGUAAAAAACUCCAUUUAUGAUUUAUUGUCACCACUUAGCAAUUUUAAAAGUAAAUUUUAAAUCAAAGUAACAAACUUUGACUUUUAACAAAUAAACUCCAAUUAUUCUUAGCCAUUCAAAAUUAACUUCCAAAAUAAGAAAUGACAAACCUUAUUGGUGUUUCAAAGUCAGAUUUUGGUUACGUGGGAGUAAAGAGGCACGAAAGGUUGAUAUUUUGUUGAUUGAUCUUUCUUGAAGCUUUUUUAUUUUGCCAAUUGAUCCACACACGCACGAAGAAAGAAGAAGAAUGAGGCAACAUAAGUAGGUUGUGAUGAAAAAGAGCACCAGGGCGGAGAUGAGGUAGCGACGACAACACAAAAAUUGUGCUCACUUUGGCCCCGAAAAUCGAUUCAACCCUCGAGCCUCUUGAUCUUCUCGAUUUACAAGUCGUGACAACAAGUUGUAGGUUUUGUAGAUGUAGUAAAGGAUAAAAGAUGAAGGUUGCGAAGAUGGUUUUGGAAGUGUAUGGUGGUGGCGGCUCAAUUAGGGUUUAAAGGUUUGAAAACUGUAUUUGAGAGUGAGAGGAAGAAAUAUACGUAAGUAAGAGAGAGAGAAAGGGUGAGAGAGAUUCCAAC